rnacentral:rRNA from 1 species
UACGUAGGGUGCGAGCGUUGUCCGGAAUUAUUGGGCGUAAAGAGCUCGUAGGCGGUUUGUUGCGUCGGCUGUGAAAUCCCGAGGCUCAACCUCGGGUCUGCAGUCGAUACGAGCAAACUAGAGUGUUGCAGGGGAGACUGGAAUUCCUGGUGUAGCGGUGAAAUGCGCAGAUAUCAGGAGGAACACCGGUGGCGAAGGCGGGUCUCUGGGCAACAACUGACGCUGAGGAGCGAAAGCGUGAGGAGCGAACAGG